GAUGAAGGUUGCUUAUGGAGGAUCCGAAAGAGAGAAAACGCGGAGCAGUAGACACGACGGACCGACGCUACCGCGUUUCCGACUCCGCCCGCGCGCUUCCUCUAGAGGAGGGGGAGGAGGCAGCGGCGAGGGGGACAGGUCCAGAUGUCUCACCGUCUGGUUCACACUCUGCGUCGAUGGAUGGAUGGAUGGAUGGAUGGAUGGCGGACAAACAGAGCGGUCAUCUGUUUUCCUGUCUUUCUUGCUUUGCAUUCAUCUGAUCACCCGCAGCAUUUACAGCCGCUGCACUAAGAGAUGGUUCAUAGUGAAUUAAGCGUAUAUCUGGCUAAAAGAAAACUGGAUCUGGUUCCUCUGGGAAAUGUUGUGUUUGUCAUGGCAUGCUGUGCCUCUGGCUGAGGGUUGUUCCUGGGGGGUCAUCAAGCAUUUGGUUAUCAAAUGGAUGAGGUUAUAUGUGGUGACCACAGGAACUUUGUUAAGGAAGUAUAGGGGGGUUUACUGCACUCAUGUAUAUAAUAGUCAACAGCUCAUGUGAGGUUUGUAACAGGGCAUAAAUAGAGAUUUUGUGUCCUCAGUCCUUCAGUGCAUACUUUGUACAUCGUAAGAUGUGCCUUACAUCUUAGAUGUACUGUAAUUGUGAUCCACUCAGUGUGGACACAAGAGUAAUCUUUGAGAUGGUUUAUCAAACUGAUGAUCUCCAGUUGAUUUCUUUAAGAUUUUCCACAACAUUCCACAGAGGAGCGUGGUAGCUAAAGGCUCCUGUAUGUAAAACCUCUAGAACAGGGGUGUCAAACUACAGUCCUCAAGGGCUGGGGUCCCUUCUGGUUUUCCAACUGUCCCUGCUAAUUACCUUGACCAGGUGUGUCAGUUGGCUCUUCCAGGACAAUAUAGAGCUGAUAAUUAAGAGCAAUGGAAGUAAAAGAUUCUAUUCCAGAUUGUGUAGAAAAGAUAAGCUGAUGUAGAAGACACGUGAUUUCUUUGACUGUGGCUGCAGCUUUUACCUAGAGGCUAAUGAAUAGGAGGUAGACAAGACCCUGGCCGAAGACGGCGGAACCAAUGUCACAUGAUUAACUAUAAUUUGACAGUUUAUGGAUACAACUCAAAAUUAAAACCACCUGCUGUUGUUAAUGUUGUGUAAAAAAGCAAGUUGAUGUUCCAGCAGGUGUUGCUGUUGAUUCUGUGGCGUCAGUUUUGCAUCUUGUCUACCUUAUUGUGACAAAAGACAAAUUUUUAUUUAACAAAACUUUUAUUCAACGCGGAUCAGUAAUUUGAACAGGAAUUCAGUAAAGAAUUUGGCUUUAUAACCUAAAAAAUCCUGUUUUAUUAUUUAUUUAUUUUGUUCAAUAUAAAAAGAUUAAAACACUUUAUCAAAACAUAAUCCUUCAAAAUAAAAGUUGUCCGGUUUUGUUUAUUAAAAGUUGGAAUUUUUUUGUUAACUUUCUUUCUAAAAUACAAAACUAACAUAUGACUCACAUCAUUAUUCUUGUCAUUGUCAUUUUCACUGUAUCUAAAUAAUAAACGAGGAUGUUGACACCUGAGUUCAACCUGAACAUUUGGUCACAUGAUGAUAAACAAGGCACUAACAGUAAGUCAGGUCAAAGGUCACAGUGGUUCAACAAUUAUUGAAAUAAUAAAAAAGUGGCAGUGACUCAUUAAAAUGCAGGACAAGCAAAAGGCAGUCCAGUUCAGAGACAUGACCACGCCUCAGUAAGAACAAGCACAAAUCUGGUUCUGAUGGAACGUCUCAGUCAGCAUGAAUGAAUGCAGUUCCAUAACAACAAAAGAAGAACGAGGCGACAUCACAGCGACAGAGGAAGAUGACAAAGGCACACAACAGAUAGUUGCAAACACCAUCUCUAACGAUUUCAGUAGCGACAUUUCACCUUCUCAAUGUCCGAGAUCAAUGUUCUGGCCAAGUAGAUCCCCACCAUCUGUCCAAAGAAAAACAUGGCUAAGACGAGUUUUGGGUGAGAGGGGCCAGAUGUUAACUUAGACACAGAGCUUUAGUACCUGCAGCAGAGAUAUGAUGAUGAACACUAUGGCCACAGUGUAGAGAUUUCCAGGUAACCAGUCCUCCAGCGCUGCAAUGCAGCCUUUGACGUAGAUGUGGUUGCUCCAUUCACGCUGUUGAACGCAAAGAAAUGUCAGAGAACAAUAAACUGUGUUAUCUAGUGAAAAUCAGUUAGGGCAGGGGUCGACAACCCGCGGUGCUUUCAUCCUUAUACUGCGGCUCCGCGUGGUUUGGAAAAAUAAAUUCAAAUUUAUUUAUAAUAAAAUCGCAUCGCAGUAGCUGCUGUGCUCCUCCCCAGUUUACACACCUAACGUGUUCUCACAGCUGCCGGUGUUAAAGAUGAACGCGUUUCCACAUAGGAUGGUGAUUUCCGAACGCGCACUGGUUGCUCUUAGUUAUGACAGCAGUUUGAAGCAGGGAGAAGCGGGUUAGCUGUCCUCGUUGAUACCUUGACAAUGUUUUGUUGUCUGUUUGCGAUCUGAACAGUCUAUACAGUUUUACAAGGCGUAAACUGUAGCAGCUUGAUGUGAUAGUAUUCUAGUUACGGAAGAGAACGAGGACUAAAUAAAUCUGCUGGUAAUUGCAACAAUCUGUCAAAAUAUGAAAUGUUAAACUUCUGCGUCCUAUCUUUUGAGUCUUGUUUGGGUUUAAACCAAAUUGAUGAAUGUUGUCAAAUAUUGUGAAACUGGCAAAAAUUUUACGGGAUUCGAUCUUGCUGUAACUGCAGCAAAAUAGCGUUACAUUCACGGCCUUAACUAUGGCACCACUAAGGGCUUACUACUGAACUCAUAUCAUGCAACAGAUAUGACAUACAUAAAGACGCUUUUUCUGAACAGUAGCAGCCAGGUCAACCUGUCACCACCAUCACCACUAUGAUUUGGUGUUACGUUCAGCUGUUCCGCGUAAAGUAACACACACACACACACACACACACACACACACACACACACAGCGUCCCUACAUGGUGUUUUUUUUCUUGUUGAAAACAGGUUCAAAUGGCUUUUUGUGAGUUCUUGCCGAACUCCCCUUGCUUAGGGGUAGGCUCACCUCUGGUCUGUUUCUGACAUCAUAGCCACACUGAGUGUUGACCACCGAGUCCUGCAAAUGAAUAAAAGACCACAUGACUUCUACUGCUAAUUCGCUGAAGUGCGUGACCAUGGUAACCGUUGCCAUGUGACAGGUAGUCGUCAUGAUUAUUGAUCAGUGACUCACAGCAGGGUCAGUGACACAGCAGGAGAAUGGAACCCCACACUUUUCUCUACUGCGAUGAGUCCCAUUACAGCUGAAGUACACAUUUUCAUCCCAGUCCCCAGGUCUCUGAGCCCCGCAGCAGUGGUUCUGUUAAGGAAUAUGAACCAAACUUUUCAGGAAGUAGGUCCCUUCUAAGAUUUGUGAAUUUUUUUUUUAAGUUUAAAUCUUUGAAAAUUAGACACAAAACAAACAUGGUACCAUUCUCUGCAGGGAGUCGAUGAGGUUCUGUAGGUCAAUGUCAUCUCUGUAUGCUUUGACAUUUGCUAGGAAGAAGUCGUUGAUCCAUUCUCUGACCUGACUUUGAAAAACCACAGCCAGCACAGCCGUUGUCAGUUCCAGAAAGAAGAUGAAGCCGAUGACGCCUGAAAACUGGCAUGGCAGACAACACACAACUUUUACUGCACAGAUGUUUUCAACAUAUACAGAUAUUUUACAAUUGUUUUUUAUACCAAAUCUACUGUACAGAGGUUUUUGACCUACAAACUUAAGCAGACAGAUGUUUUCUCUCAGAGCUCCUACACAGCCGGCAAAGCCCAGGAUGAAUGUGACCCCACCAACCACAAGGACCAACCAGACUGGGUCAAAUCCGCGUAGCCGGGUUACUUGGGUCAGGUCCAAAAGGAUUCCCUAGGAACCACAACAAACCAGUAAAAUAAGAAAGUCACAGAAAAAAAACACUACACAACAACACUCAGAUUAUUAAACUAUGAAGUGAUGUGUCCUUCUUCGUUAACUAGCCUUCUCACUCCAGGCCCAGAACCCAGCUGCAAUGAAGGCAACUCCAGCCAGCUGCAACACAAACAAGCCAGGAAUUAGAAAGACCCGUCAAAGGCAGAGUGCAGUGCAGAUGAGUUACACAGUAUGGAGGAGGAUGAGGCUGUCCCAAGAAGCCAGCAGCCAUGAUCAGACAGCCCACAGCAGAAAGACCCAGCAUCCAGCACCCAAGAACAAAGAGUGGGCAGCUGAGAGGAGCUGCAUUAUGUCUCUACACCAUCCGCCAAUAGAAACACAACUGAAUAUCCCAGAGCUGCAUGAAUGAGGAAUCUAAUGCUGCCGGUUUCUCUUGGAUGAAGUUGCGGAUUCUACUGCUGAUGGGGAACAUAUUUGUGUAUAUUUGUUGUGAUCAGUUUUGGGAUACAUAUGGUCAGAGAAGCUGGAAACUUGCUGCAGGAUGCCAAGAAACCAGAAAAACAGCUGGGACGCGCCUGAGUAAGUAAUAUAUUCGACCUUUUAUUGUUUUAGCUUGCGCUGUCUUUCUGGCUUUCUAACAACUGUCUGCUUUCAUUUCAAAUAAAAAGCUGCUAAACAACUUACAGAGUCUUUUUUUCAAACACACUGUUAAAAAAAAUAACCUUUUGUUAAUAAU